rnacentral:rRNA from 1 species
AUUGAACGCUGGCGGCAGGCCUAACACAUGCAAGUCGAGCGAGCGGCGGGCGGGUGAGGAAUGUAAGGCGACUGCCCGUUAGGGGGGGAUAACUACUGGAAACGCUAACUAAUACCGCAUACUAUCGGAUAACCCAUAUGGGAGUAGCUAGUAGGGGAGGUAAUGGCCCACCAAGGCGACGAUACCUAGCGGGUCUGAGAGGAUGAUCAGCCACACUGGGACUGAGACACGGCCCAGACUCCUACGGAGGCAGCAGUGGGGAAUAUUGCACAAUGGGCGCAAGCCUGAUGCAGCCAUGCCGCGUGUAUGAAGAAGGCCCUAGGGUUGUAAAGUACUUUCAGUCGGGAGGCGUUACCGACAGAAGAAGCACCGGCUAACUCCGUGCCAGCAGCCGCGGUAAUAC